UCGACCGCCUGGGGAGUACGGCCGCAAGGUUAAAACUCAAAUGAAUUGACGGGGGCCCGCACAAGCGGUGGAGCAUGUGGUUUAAUUCGAUGCAACGCGAAGAACCUUACCUGGUCUUGACAUCCACGGAAGUUUUCAGAGAUGAGAAUGUGCCUUCGGGAACCGUGAGACAGGUGCUGCAUGGCUGUCGUCAGCUCGUGUUGUGAAAUGUUGGGUUAAGUCCCGCAACGAGCGCAACCCUUAUCCUUUGUUGCCAGCGGUCGGCCGGGAACUCAAAGGAGACUGCCAGUG
rnacentral:rRNA from 1 species